UACAGAGGGUGCAAGCGUUAAUCGGAUUUACUGGGCGUAAAGGGCGCGUAGGUGGUUAUUUAAGUGAGAUGUGAAAUCCCCGGCUUAACCUCGGGAACUGCGUCUUAUACUGGAUAACUGGAGUGCAAUAGAGGGUAGUGGAAUUUCCGGUGUAGCGGUGAAAUGCGUAGAUAUCGGAAGGAACACCAGUGGCGAAGGCGGCUACCUGGAUUGACACUGACACUGAGGCGCGAGAGCGUGGGGAGCAAACAGG
rnacentral:rRNA from 1 species